CCUCCCCCUAGAGGCCUUGCAAGUGUGCCUGUGGUAUUACAUUAGAUGGCAGAAAGGAGAAAAGCUAGGUCUACAUACAAUGUAUGAAUAUGAUCUAUGAAUAUCCGAGUGAUUGGUAGCACAACAUU